UCUAAUGGACAAGCGACCGGUCCAUAUUGGACCACGCCUCUCCUCCGAUCAAUGAUGCAGAUAAACACCAAACGUUCCCAGGACCCUGAGAGGAUAAGCAGAUGAUGGAUGAUCUCUGAGGCCCACAGCAUCACAGAUCCUCCACCGUACUUAGAGGACACGUGGUUCUUUAUUAAAAUGUAAUAUUUAUCUUUGUGAGACUUCCAAACAACCUAUAGACCAGUACAAGUCAUCGGCUUUGGGUUUUUUUUUAAACCUUCCUUUCCAGCGUUCUCUCAUGUUUCCCAUUUUUAUUGGUGAUCAAGCAAAAAACAGGAAGUCAUGGAGAACUGACCAGACGUUUGACUCUGAACAUGUUGAUUCUGCAGCAUUCUGUGCAGAAUCAACAGUUUCUGAGUUUCUCACUGUGAGAUUUUCCACCACUAUAAAAGUUUGAUUAAUUUUAAGGCUUUUCGUCACCAGGAGGGCAGCAAAUUUGCCUGGAUCUGAAAUACUGUGCAUGAUUUUAAAUGGUUCAGAUAUCAUGUAAUCACACCGAAAAUUACUGGUCAUUACUGAUGUAUUAACGCGCCACAGGAUUCAUUUAUAACAUUUCUUUGACUCUUUUUGGCGCGUAGCAGCAGAACAGCAGAUAAUCGAUCAUUAUUGGUGCAGCUGAGAAACAUCUGUUGGUCAACAGGAAAACCAAAGUGAUCCACUUCACUUCUCCUAUUUUACUGAACGAUUCAUGGUGAGAUGGUGCCGAUAAGGAACAUUUUGUAUGAGCCACCUAUGCCAUUUGUAUCCAAGUAUGAUCUGCAUUUUCUUUAAUUAACCAUUUAAUUAUUAAGGCGGGAUUUCUAUAGAGAAGCCAGUAGAAGCGCAGCUCCCCAUCAUCACCCUGUUGCUCCGAUUUUCAUCAUUGUUCUAACGGGGAGUAAUCAGCUGCUGUCCCGUUUGACCGCACACGCGUCUCCCUCUGCAGGUAAACACAGACUGCAGGUCAGCCGUGCAUGAAGGGGUUUGUAGAGGCUCAGAGAGGAUUAGGUUUCCUGAGCAGUCACCUGCCGACGGAAGCAGCCAGGAAUUAGGACAAAAACCACGCCACGCCUCGCAUGUCAAGACCCCAGCUGAAACUCAGCUGCGAUCUGGUGGAGGGAGAGCGGGAUCAGAAACUUUUACAGUCAGACAUCAGCCAGAGACGUGACUGUGAGCAUGAGCGGGGAAUGUGCGGCUGGAAAGUCCGGAGAUCAGCCGUGAUCCAGAGCGCGCGGCGCAGGAGGACUCAGCCUCCGCUGGUACCCAGCUCGGCUCGGUUCGGUUCGGUUCGGCUUACCUUGAGCAGCCAGAAUGAUCACCGCUGCCACCAUCCAGGCGUUCCGCCCCAGAGAGCGCGGGCAGCGCGCUGCGUAAUCUCUCGCCAUUCUUCUGCACUGGAGCUCAGCGCGUCCUCCUCCUGAUUCCGGACCGAGCGCAGAUCCUCUGAGUCUUAAUGACGGGCAGGAGCGCGACCCCUCCCCCGUGUGGCCCGGCCGCAGUGCGCACAGGUAGCCCGCGGCGGGUGCGUAUCUGGCGGAUAGCGUUGAGAGCAGCAGGCGGAGAACAAAGUGUGGACGGAGUGUGAGAGAGUCGCAGGAGCUCCGUGGGUUUGAUGCGCAGAGCUGAGUGGGGAACAUCCGAGUGAUGUCAGCAGAGCGUCACCAAGAGGACUUCAGCCGAAAAGCUGAGGAGAGGAGAGGAGAGGAGAGGAGAGGAGAGGAGAGGAGAGGAGAGGAGAGGAGAGGAGAGGAGAGGGUGCGGGAACAUGUCUGCUGUUCAGGUGGAGAUUCUCAUCAUCCCUGAGAAAAUGUUUGGCUGAUUAACCGCAGACGUCAUGAUUUAUUAAACUAAACGAAAUCUAGAACAGAUGCCAGUUGAACUAUUUUCUUCUCAACCCUCCUUUGUUUUUUAGUCCUUCUUAGUUUUAAUUUUGAGACAAAUUGUAAUUUUACAGACUCGGUUUUGAUCCUCCAUACAAACAAAAUUAUCACAAAAAUAAUGCAUAAGUGCCCUGUUUAAAAAUACAACAUGGAUAUAUUUUAUGUUUUAAUUAUAGUUGAAGAGAAACUAAAACUGGCAGGACAGACCAAAUAAAACUGGAAUCACUGGUGCGUGUCCAGGUCUUUCUGGUCAAACUGGAGCCGACAUGGCUGAAAGGUUUAAGCUCAUAAACCUAAUUUAUUAAUCCCUUUUACUCUGAAACUAAACAGUGUUCCUAUUAAAAAUGGUUUUGUUUGUAAAAGUUUUGAGGUUGGUGUAAUUUUUUUAUAUUUAAAAGGGAUUUUUUUUUGUUGGAAAAAGACAAAAUAUUAAUCUGCGGUAGAAUUCCCUCAUCCCUCCAUUUUCUGCUCGGGGUCACCCGUUGACCCCGAGUCCCUGGACAUGGAGCACAUGCUUUAACAUUUUCUACUAUAUGAAGAGUUUACAGUUGGUGCCAUGUUUCCUUAUGUUGCAUGAGCCUCAGGAUAUGGAGGAGGAAAGACUCAUCAUACCUGAUGAAGAUCAGGGGAACCUUUUACCAGCAUUUGUUUCCAGGUUGAAUAAAGGUCAAAGUAUCAAUGA